ACGAACGCUGGCGGCGUGCUUAACACAUGCAAGUCGAACGGAAAGGCCCUGCUUUUGUGGGGAGCUCGAGUGGCGAACGGGUGAGUAACACGUGAGUAACCUGCCCUUGACUUUGGGAUAACUUCAGGAAACUGGGGCUAAUACCGGAUAGGAGCUCCUGCUGCAUGGUGGGGGUUGGAAAGUUUCGGCGGUUGGGGAUGGACUCGCGGCUUAUCAGCUUGUUGGUGGGGUAGUGGCUUACCAAGGCUUUGACGGGUAGCCGGCCUGAGAGGGUGACCGGCCACAUUGGGACUGAGAUACGGCCCAGACUCCUACGGGAGGCAGCAGUGGGGAAUAUUGCACAAUGGGCGGAAGCCUGAUGCAGCAACGCCGCGUGCGGGAUGACGGCCUUCGGGUUGUAAACCGCUUUCGCCUGUGGCGAAGCGUGAGUGACGGUAAUGGGUAAAGAAGCACCGGCUAACUACGUG
rnacentral:rRNA from 1 species